rnacentral:rRNA from 1 species
UACGAAGGGAGCUAGCGUUGUUCGGAAUCACUGGGCGUAAAGCGCGCGUAGGCGGCUUGCCAAGUCAGAGGUGAAAUGCCGGGGCUUAACCCCGGAACUGCCUUUGAAACUGGCUGGCUAGAGUAUUGGAGGGGAGCGGGGAAUUCCUAAUGUAGAGGUGAAAUUCGUAGAUAUUAGGAGGAACACCGGUGGCGAAGGCGCCGCUCUGGACAAUUACUGACGCUGAGGCGCGAAAGCGUGGGGAUCAAACAGG